rnacentral:rRNA from 1 species
UGCAGAGAACUUUCCAGAGAUGGAUUGGUGCCUUCGGGAACUCUGACACAGGUGCUGCAUGGCUGUCGUCAGCUCGUGUCGUGAGAUGUUGGGUUAAGUCCCGUAACGAGCGCAACCCUUGUCCUUAGUUACCAGCACGUUAAGGUGGGGACUCAGUGGAGACCGCCGGGGUCAACUCGGAGGAAGGUGGGGAUAGGUCGUGGGAGG